rnacentral:snRNA from 1 species
GUGCUGGCUUUGGCAGCACAUAUACUAAAAUGGGAACGAUGUAGAGAAGAUUAGCAUGACCUCUGCACAAGGAUGACACACGAAUUUGUAAAGUGUUCCAUAUUUAA